UACGUAGGUGGCAAGCGUUGUCCGGAUUUACUGGGCGUAAAGAGCGCGCAGGCGGUCGUUCAAGUCGCGUGUGAAAGCCCCCGGCUCAACUGGGGAGGGUCACGCGAUACUGAUCGACUCGAAGGCAGGAGAGGGUAGUGGAAUUCCCGGUGUAGUGGUGAAAUGCGUAGAUAUCGGGAGGAACACCAGUGGCGAAGGCGACUACCUGGCCUGUUUUUGACGCUGAGGCGCGAAAGCUAGGGGAGCAAACGGG
rnacentral:rRNA from 1 species